rnacentral:rRNA from 1 species
AGCUACAGGCUUAACACAUGCAAGUCGUGGGGCAGCAUGGUCUUAGCUUGCUAAGGCCGAUGGCGACCGGCGCACGGGUGAGUAACACGUAUCCAACCUGCCGUCUACUCUUGGACAGCCUUCUGAAAGGAAGAUUAAUACAAGAUGGCAUCAUGAGUCCGCAUGUUCACAUGAUUAAAGGUAUUCCGGUAGACGAUGGGGAUGCGUUCCAUUAGAUAGUAGGCGGGGUAACGGCCCACCUAGUCUUCGAUGGAUAGGGGUUCUGAGAGGAAGGUCCCCCACAUUGGAACUGAGACACGGUCCAAACUCCUACGGGAGGCAGCAAUGAGGAAUAUUGGUCAAUGGGCGAGAGCCUGAACCAGCCAAGUAGCGUGAAGGAUGACUGCCCUAUGGGUUGUAAACUUCUUUUAUAAAGGAAUAAAGUCGGGUAUGGAUACCCGUUUGCAUGUACUUUAUGAAUAAGGAUCGGCUAACUCCGUGCCAGCAGCCGCGGUAAUACGGAGGAUCCGAGCGUUAUCCGGAUUUAUUGGGUUUAAAGGGAGCGUAGAUGGAUGUUUAAGUCAGUUGUGAAAGUUUGCGGCUCAACCGUAAAAUUGCAGUUGAUACUGGAUAUCUUGAGCGCAGUUGAGGCAGGCGGAAUUCGUGGUGUAGCGGUGAAAUGCUUAGAUAUCACGAAGAACUCCGAUUGCGAAGGCAGCCUGCUAAGCUGCAACUGACAUUGAGGCUCGAAAGUGUGGGUAUCAAACAGGAUUAGAUACCCUGGUAGUCCACACGGUAAACGAUGAAUACUCGCUGUUUGCGAUAUACUGCAAGCGGCCAAGCGAAAGCGUUAAGUAUUCCACCUGGGGAGUACGCCGGCAACGGUGAAACUCAAAGGAAUUGACGGGGGCCCGCACAAGCGGAGGAACAUGUGGUUUAAUUCGAUGAUACGCGAGGAACCUUACCCGGGCUUAAAUUGCAGAUGAAUUACGGUGAAAGCCGUAAGCCGCAAGGCAUCUGUGAAGGUGCUGCAUGGUUGUCGUCAGCUCGUGCCGUGAGGUGUCGGCUUAAGUGCCAUAACGAGCGCAACCCUUGUUGUCAGUUACUAACAGGUUCCGCUGAGGACUCUGACAAGACUGCCAUCGUAAGAUGUGAGGAAGGUGGGGAUGACGUCAAAUCAGCACGGCCCUUACGUCCGGGGCUACACACGUGUUACAAUGGGGGGUACAGAGGGUCGCUACCACGCGAGUGGAUGCCAAUCCCCAAAACCUCUCUCAGUUCGGACUGGAGUCUGCAACCCGACUCCACGAAGCUGGAUUCGCUAGUAAUCGCGCAUCAGCCACGGCGCGGUGAAUACGUUCCCGGGCCUUGUACACACCGCCCGUCAAGCCAUGGGAGCCGGGGGUACCUGAAGUGCGUAACCGCGAGGAGCGCCCUAGGGUAAAACUGGUGACUGGGGCUAAGUCAUAAC